AGGGGCGGGCGGAGCCGCGCGGGGGCGGUGCGGCGCGACCUGACGGCUGCGACGGUCUCUUCGUGUUUCCUCGCCUUGUCGGCGGUGUUAGAGGCAUCAGAAAUCGGAGCUCAUCGUGUCACAUCGCGUUCGCGCAGAGUUUCAUGAAGAUGCCCUGCCUAUGCCAGCACACUCCUCUGCUUUAUUCGCUUCCGAGGGUAACAGAACGAGACUUCACGGCAUUUUUUUCCUGAGGCUGCCAGAAGAAUGAAAAUUGUCUUACACAAGGACAUAUGGAAGAGAAAUCAUGGGGACUGUAAUGUAUGAAAUCUAAAGAAAGCCAAAGGAAAAGAAACUAAAGAAGUUCUAAUAAGACUCACGUUUAUAAAUUCAAAUAUGGGUAAUAUGAUGUAGUUAGAAGGUACUGUAAUGUUUUGAUGACCAUAUGAGAAAAUUUGGUUCCACUUUCUUUUAA